rnacentral:rRNA from 1 species
AGCGAACGCUGGCGGCAGGCCUAACACAUGCAAGUCGAGCGGCCGUAGCAAUACGGCAGCGGCAGACGGGAGAGUAACACGUGGGAACGUGCCCUUUGGUUCGGAAUAACGCAGGGAAACUUGCGCUAAUACCGAAUAAGCCCUUACGGGAAAGAUUAUCGCCAUUGGAGCGGCCCGCGUCUGAUUAGCUAGUUGGUGGGGUAACGGCGUCACCAAGGCGACGAUCAGUAGCNGGUCUGAGAGGAUGAUCAGCCUCACUGGGAC